GUCGAGAAUUUUCCGCAAUGGGCGAAAGCCUGACGGAGCAAUGCCGCGUGAAGGAUGAAGGCCUAUGGGUUGUAAACUUCUUUUCUCAGAAAAGAAUUAUGACGGUAUCUGAGGAAUAAGCAUCGGCUAACUCUGUGCCAGCAGCCGCGGUAAGACAGAGGAUGCAAGCGUUAUCCGGAAUGAUUGGGCGUAAAGCGUCUGUAGGUUGUUUAAAAAGUAUUCUGUCAAAGAUUAGGGCUUAACCCUAGAUAGGCAGAAUAAACUUUUAAGCUAGAGUUUGGUAGAGGCAGAGGGAAUUCCCGGUGGAGCGGUGAAAUGCGUAGAUAUCGGGAGGAACACCAAAGGCGAAGGCACUCUGCUGGGCCAAUACUAACACUGAGAGACGAAAGCGAGGGGAGCAAAUGGGAUUAGAUACCCGGGUAGUCC
rnacentral:rRNA from 1 species